CCCCAAGCACAAGAAGGACAUGGAAGUAUUAGACAGAGGGAGCAAGUACAGAGAGGGCCACAGAGAUGAUCAGAGGCUGGAGCUCCUCUCGUAUGAAGACAGGCUGAGAGAGUUGGGGUUGUUCAACUUGGAGAAGAGAAGGCUCCAGGGAGACCUUAUA